rnacentral:tRNA from 1 species
GGAAGCGUGGCAGAGUGGUCGAUUGCACCGGUCUUGAAAACCGGCGGCCCGCAAGGGCCCGUGAGUUCUUAUCUAAACCGCGUUUG